CAUAGCGACUAUCGUGGCAUAUCAAUAAGCGGAGGAAAAGAAACUAACAAGGAUUCCCUUAGUAACGGCGAGUGAAGCGGGAAGAGCUCAAAUUUGAAAUCUUCAAGGUUCUACCUUGACGAAUUGUAGUUUAUAGAAGUGUUUUCUGUUAGUGGAGUGGCAAAAGUUCUUUGGAAUAGGACAUCAUAGAGGGUGAGAAUCCCGUAUUUGGUCAUUCCUCCUAGCGUUGUGAUACACUUUCAACGAGUCGGAUUGUUUGGGAAUGCAGUCCAAAAUGGGUGGUAAAUUUCAUCUAAAGCUAAAUAUUGGCGAGAGACCGAUAGCGAACAAGUACCGUGAGGGAAAGAUGAAAAGAACUUUGAAAAGAGAGUUAAACAGUACGUGAAAUUGUCAAAAGGGAAGCGUUUGACACCAGUGUUGUUUUUCCGAAAAUCAAUUACGAAUGUUUUGUUUUUGAGGAGUUAUGACUUCAUCGGCUUGCUCCUUUCUUUAUGAAACUUUCUUAAUGCACUUUUCGGUUAACAAGUCAACAUCAAUUUCUUUUGUUGUAAAAGGGUAUGAGGAAGGUGGCUUUCUUUCCGGAGAAAGUGUUUAUAGCCUUGUGCUUCUGCAAUCGGAGAGAUUGAGGUCUGCAGCGUAGAUCCUUCGGGGUUAGAUACAUUUGUGCUAAGCUAUAGUUCUUUCAUAGACAACUUGUUGACUAUAGUCUAGUCCUGUAGCUUACUCGCUUAUGCUAUUUUACCUACGCUUAGGAUGUUGAUAUGCAUGACUGAUAU
rnacentral:rRNA from 1 species